AACGCUGGCGGCAGGCCUAACACAUGCAAGUCGAACGAACUCUUCGGAGUUAGUGGCGGACGGGUGAGUAACACGUGGGAACGUGCCUUUAGGUUCGGAAUAACUCAGGGAAACUUGUGCUAAUACCGAAUGUGCCCUUCGGGGGAAAGAUUUAUCGCCUUUAGAGCGGCCCGCGUCUGAUUAGCUAGUUGGUGAGGUAAAGGCUCACCAAGGCGACGAUCAGUAGCUGGUCUGAGAGGAUGAUCAGCCACAUUGGGACUGAGACACGGCCCAAACUCCUACGGGAGGCAGCAGUGGGGAAUCUUGCGCAAUGGGCGAAAGCCUGACGCAGCCAUGCCGCGUGAAUGAUGAAGGUCUUAGGAUUGUAAAAUUCUUUCACCGGGGACGAUAAUGACGGUACCCGGAGAAGAAGCCCCGGCUAACUUCGUGCCAGCAGCCGCGGUAAUACGAAGGGGGCUAGCGUUGCUCGGAAUUACUGGGCGUAAAGGGAGCGUAGGCGGACAUUUAAGUCAGGGGUGAAAUCCCGGGGCUCAACCUCGGAAUUGCCUUUGAUACUGGGUGUCUUGAGUAUGAGAGAGGUGUGUGGAACUCCGAGUGUAGAGGUGAAAUUCGUAGAUAUUCGGAAGAACACCAGUGGCGAAGGCGACACACUGGCUCAUUACUGACGCUGAGGCUCGAAAGCGUGGGGAGCAAACAGGAUUAGAUACCCUGGUAGUCCACGCCGUAAACGAUGAUUGCUAGUUGUCGGGAUGCAUGCAUUUCGGUGACGCA
rnacentral:rRNA from 1 species